AGUGCGACGGGUGAGUAAUGUCUGGGAAACUGCUGAUGAGGGGGAUAACUACUGGAAACGGUAGCUAAUACCGCAUAAUGUCGCAAGACCAAAGAGGGGGACUUUCGGGCCUCUUGCCAUCAGAUGUGCCCAGAUGGGAUUAGCUAGUAGGUGGGGUAACGGCUCACCUAGGCGACGAUCCCUAGCUGGUCUGAGAGGAUGACCAGCCACACUGGAACUGAGACACGGUCCAGACUCCUACGGGAGGCAGCAGUGGGGAAUAUUGCACAAUGGGCGCAAGCCUGAUGCAGCCAUGCCGCGUGUAUGAAGAAGGCCUUCGGGUUGUAAAGUACUUUCAGCGGGGAGGAAGGUGUUGUGGUUAAUAACCGCAGCAAUUGACGUUACCCGCAGAAGAAGCACCGGCUAACUCCGUGCCAGCAGCCGCGGUAAUACGGAGGGUGCAAGCGUUAAUCGGAAUUACUGGGCGUAAAGCGCACGCAGGCGGUCUGUCAAGUCGGAUGUGAAAUCCCCGGGCUCAACCUGGGAACUGCAUUCGAAACUGGCAGGCUGGAGUCUUGUAGAGGGGGGUAGAAUUCCAGGUGUAGCGGUGAAAUGCGUAGAGAUCUGGAGGAAUACCGGUGGCGAAGGCGGCCCCCUGGACAAAGACUGACGCUCAGGUGCGAAAGCGUGGGGAGCAAACAGGAUUAGAUACCCUGGUAGUCCACGCCGUAAACGAUGUCGAUUUGGAGGUUGUGCCCUUGAGGCGUGGCUUCCGGAGCUAACGCGUUAAAUCGACCGCCUGGGGAGUACGGCCGCAAGGUUAAAACUCAAAUGAAUUGACGGGGGCCCGCACAAGCGGUGGAGCAUGUGGUUUAAUUCGAUGCAACGCGAAGAACCUUACCUGGUCUUGACAUCCACAGAACUUUCCAGAGAUGGAUUGGUGCCUUCGGGAACUGUGAGACAGGUGCUGCAUGGCUGUCGUCAGCUCGUGUUGUGAAAUGUUGGGUUAAGUCCCGCAACGAGCGCAACCCUUAUCCUUUGUUGCCAGCGGUUAGGCCGGGAACUCAAAGGAGACUGCCAGUGAUAAACUGGAGGAAGGGUGGGGGAUGACGUCCAAGUCAUCAUGGCCCUUACGACCAGGGCUACCACACGUGCUACAAUGGCGCCAUACAAAGAGAAGCGACCUCGCGAGAAGCAAGCGGACCUCAUAAAGUGCGUCGUAGUCCGGAUU
rnacentral:rRNA from 1 species